AAACCUAAGUAUUGUAUCCUUGUUAGAAGGUACAAAGAGAAAGACUCAUACAGACUACACCAUCAAAGCUUUGAGAAGCGAGAAGAAGCUUGGUUAGUGUUUUGGAGUCGAAUAUGACUUGAUGUGAUGUGUAUGAUUUAGUAUAAGAACUUAAACCGCAACUUGGGC
rnacentral:sRNA from 1 species